AUCCUUUUGUAGUUCAUGAACAUGAUGAUUGGGUGUUCACACACUUGUGUGAGAUGUGCCACCUUUUAACCUUGUUACGACAUCUGCAUGUUAUCCAUCUGACC